rnacentral:rRNA from 1 species
GAUGAACGCUGGCGGCGUGCCUAAUACAUGCAAGUCGAGCGAACGGACGAGGAGCUUGCUCCUCUGAUGUUAGCGGCGGACGGGUGAGUAACACGUGGAUAACCUACCUAUAAGACUGGGAUAACUUCGGGAAACCGGAGCUAAUACCGGAUAAUAUUUCGAACCGCAUGGUUCAAUAGUGAAAGACGGUCUUGCUGUCACUUAUAGAUGGACCCGCGCUGCAUUAGCUAGUUGGUAAGGUAACGGCUUACCAAGGCAACGAUGCAUAGCCGACCUGAGAGGGUGAUCGGCCACACUGGAACUGAGACACGGUCCAGACUCCUACGGGAGGCAGCAGUAGGGAAUCUUACGCAAUGGGCGAAAGCCUGACGGAGCAACGCCGCGUGAGUGAUGAAGGUCUUCGGAUCGUAAAACUCUGUUAUUAGGGAAGAACAAACGUGUAAGUAACUGUGCACAUCUUGACGGUACCUAAUCAGAAAGCCACGGCUAACUACGUG